rnacentral:lncRNA from 1 species
AUCUCCUUGGGGCUUUGCUUCCCGCUGGGGUGUGCCCCGAACUGAAGCCAACGACAACAGCCGGGUGGAGGCGGACGACCGGGAGGACUUUCACCGACUGAAGGACAUGUCGGUCCCGAAGCAGAGGGAGCUUGUUACCGAACAAGCUCUCUAUGAUGCCGGCUUGAGUCUGGUCCCCCGAAUAGGUAUCGCCCGAUCCCCCGGUCUUUCUUUUCGUUCGGCUCUUGGUCCAGUCUUUAACACUUUCGUCGGU